GGAGCUUCCGACUGCGUACUUUCGCCUGCAGCCGAGCAAAUCCCUGCUUAACCUAAGAGGGAAAACAGAAACAGUGUGAGAUGGAUGAAAAACGGCUUGAGUCUCUACAGCUAUGUUACACUUGGACACAGAGCAGAGACAACGAGGAACAAACCUGUCUUUAUGAGCGAGCAUCACUCUUUGGAUGAUGAGAGCCUUCCUGUAAAGCUCCUGCGCUCGCUCCAGUUCUAGUGUUGGGGUCGCAGUCAAUGGACUUCAAGAGUGCUCGGUAGCGAUGCAGGAAGUCCUUGAAGGUGUGACGGAUGGGAUAUCCCAAC